GCGGUGGGGAAGCUACGGGAGAGACGAGCUACAGGGCGGAUUAAACUAUAUUUUUCCGCUGCUUUCUAAUUGUUAUGAUGGCCGACUGUUAAGCAGUCUGUUAACUUAUAGGAGCCUCUUAUAUUUGCCGUGCGGAAAUCCGCAACGAGCGAGCGUGUAACUUGCACGGAGACUGGCCAGAUUCUGGAUGGAUUACUCUCCCCCUUCUGCCAGAGAUUCACAGACGAACGUGAACAUUGUAUUGGACUCAUGACAAUACAAUGUUUUGCAUGCCACGAGUGUGCGACAUGUCAAGGAGCAGUUUCUUUUCUCACAAAAGAUGACAUACAUCAAGUACAAUGAUCGUAAGGCUCAAAGGAUUGCACAUGAGCAGUUAUAGAAAGUAGAACUUGUGUUUUUUUUUUUUUUUUACAUACAAACAGUGUUUGUACCGUGUAUUGACCAGACAUGUAACAUGUAAAUGCCCUAAUCAGAAUCACAUUUUUUUGUGUUUUGGUGCAUAACAAUAAACACAGUAAGUAGAAAAAUGCAAAGAAGGAUGGUCGAGCUCUUAUCCAUAAAAAUAUCUAAUUAUGUUGCUCAUCUGUUGCUUUACAGGCCAGAAUUCAAGGACUAUGUUUAGAGCAAUCACAUCAAGUGCUGAACUCUUCUGUAUUUAAUCCUUAUUUUGCCUUAUAUCAAAAUCUUUUGUAUAAAAAGUCUUGAAAAUGAUGAACAGCAUGAGCGGCAUGAGCAGACCUGAAGCCUGCCUGACUGGGGUCAAAGAGGUUGUUUUGUGAGAGACAGGAGGACAGUUGGUUGUAGACGGCGUGUUCCAGCACAGCAAAUUGAGAAGAGUUGAAUUCUUGGUGUUCACAGGCUGUAAAUUGACAUUAACUGCCAAAAAUUAAAGAUGAUCUGAAAUUAGGUCAAAAAUGCCCACAUUAUAAGAAUCAGUAUCUGCAAUCACCACUACUUUAUAUUUGAUAUGUGUGCAUGCAUGCAGGAACACUACUAUGAUCCUCAGGCCAACACUGGCUAUCUUGCAUGAAGACUCAAGACAGUACAAGGCAACACCCAUGAUGCCUUCCAUGAGUGUUCCAGGCCUGAUUUCCAGGACAGUCCGACAACCCAACGAGACUCUCUUUUAACUGGUGAUCAGCUCCUUGGUGAGGAGUGCAGGGGGGCUCUCUCCAUAAUGAGACACUCAAUGGACACAUCUGUGGUUAGAGAGAAGAUGAGAGCCACCUUUGACUACAGACAGAAGAAUAUUAUUUUUAUUAUAAAUUAUUUGAAAACUGACUCCUUCUAAUGCAAAGUGCAUUUUAGUAAGCUGUAUAUGGACAUUUUUCCAUUAUGUUCAGGGACCAUGUAUCUGAAAGGUUUCUUGCGAGGUGGUCGUCAGAUUUCAAGCACAGAAUCAUCACAGAAUGCCAGAGUCUUCCCUCAAGUCCUUAUACUGACGAGCUGCUGGCUGCCUCUGAUCUUGAGGUCUAGAAUGACUGUGGCCAGAAAAAAAAAACUCCCAAGAUGAGCUCAGCACAGGCAGCCAAUCAUGUUGUCAGAUUCAUUAAGUUGAGGCAAGGCAGCCUUUCCUCCUUUGCAUCGGAGAGCAAAAGAAGAAAAUCGCAAGGUUCUUCAUUGUUGUGGACCAGAAAGCUAUCCCAUGCAACUCUCACACAUCGGCGGCUGCUUUUGAUGUGCUGUUCAAGACUAACUAUGUCUUCAGCCUCUCCUAUAAUGAAGCACUUUCUGCAGUCUACACUUUCAUCCAAACAACGAUAUACAGCAUCGAUGUUGGAACCACAAAGGAAACUAAAGACUGUUCAUAAGAACCGUGAUGAACUGGUCGAUACUAACCAGGAAGUGGCCACACAAAGACAUUUUGAGUUUGAAUCUUUAAGUGAACAGCCAACAAUUUCUGCUGCAUCCAUGUUACAGGUUCCCCCUGUAAUUACACAGAACUCACUUGAAAGAAUGUACAGUUCAGUUGUUUCACACUCUGGUUGUUCUCAAAGCACUAUCCAAACAAUAGUUUGUAGAUGGAGGAAGUCAUUAGUGAUUAGUGAAAGUAGAGCAUUGUUUAAAUCAAUUAGACAAUCCCUUUUCAAAAUUUAACACAGAUGAAGAGACAAAAAUCUGAUGAUGAAAAAUGGGAAAUAGUUGAGCCUAAAGAAUUUGUCCUUGGUGUGAGAAUGGAUACACAUAGAAAAGAACUACAGGUGUAUAUAGUCAGAUUCCUGUAGGACAAGUGAUUGUAUGUACCCAUUUUAGGUACACAGAAAUCCAUUUUCAAAAACAGUGAGAUAAGAAACCAGGGCCACCAGAACUCCAAACACUGGCCAGUGAAAAAUAAUGCCUUGAAAAUAGAUAACAAGUAAAAAAUGUUAUAAAUCUAAUUGCACGUUAAUUCCCUGUAGUUUGAAAUGAUUUCUGUGAAAUCGUCUCGGUAGCUAAUUACCGCUAAUAGUGUUAGGAGAUCCCGACCCGAUCAAAGACAGAGACAUCUACUGUGUGUGUGCGCAGCAACGCUGUGCCCUGGGACGUCAGCACACCACCUGCAAGCAGCUGCAGCGUGCACAGCUCUCUCGCUCCUGCGGAACGCGUGCCGCUCGCCCACUGCUGCUGAUUGAAGGUUGUCACUAGAGUCGAUAAGAACCUUUUUUUUUUUUUUUUGUUCCGUCGUGUCGAGUCCUGUUGGGACCGAUGCGGACGUUGCACGCGGGCCAGAGCACGCGCUGGGUGUCGGUGCGGCUGCAGUCGCGGUCCGUUUAUGUGAACGCGGCCGGUCCUCGCGCCGCUCCAGCUGCUCGGCGGUUAGACGUUAAUACAUCCAUGGUUUGGAGCAGAGGAAAAAACAAACGCGUGGAAACACAAAAUGGAGCUGAAAAAUGAAACAAUGAUUAGUUUUGCAUCAGUCUGUGGAAGCAGCCUUAGUCAAUGAAUGAGUGAGAACAACAGCUCCAUCAUAUAACUACUGGAAGAUAAAAGUAAUGACUACAUGACUACAUGACUUUCCGUUUGUGUUGAGGCAUAUUUACCAUUUGAACUUUUUUUUUUUUUUUACUUCAUUGU